rnacentral:rRNA from 1 species
AGUGAACGCUGGCGGUAGGCCUAACACAUGCAAGUCGAACGGCAGCACAGUAAGAGCUUGCUCUUACGGGUGGCGAGUGGCGGACGGGUGAGGAAUACAUCGGAAUCUACUUUUUCGUGGGGGAUAACGUAGGGAAACUUACGCUAAUACCGCAUACGACCUACGGGUGAAAGCAGGGGAUCUUCGGACCUUGCGCGAUUGAAUGAGCCGAUGUCGGAUUAGCUAGUUGGCGGGGUAAAGGCCCACCAAGGCGACGAUCCGUAGCUGGUCUGAGAGGAUGAUCCGCCACCCCGGAACUGAGACACGGUCCAGACUCCUACGGGAGGGAGCCGUUGGGAAUAUUGGGCCAUGGGCGGAAGGCUGAUCCCGCCCAACCGCGUGGGUUAAGAAGGCCCUCGGGUUGGAAAGCCCUUUUUGUUGGGAAGAAAAGCAGCAGGUUAAUACCCCGCUGUUCUGACGGUACCCAAAGAAUAAGCACCGGCUAACUUCGUG